CUCAAUGGUGGGCUGGAUGGGGCAGCCGAAAAGCUGGCCGGAUGACAAUCCCGGUAAGACCAACUCCGUUCAGUUCACCACCCUA
rnacentral:antisense_RNA from 1 species